AAAUACUAGAAAAUAUGGACUGGAUGUACUGUUUGUGCAGAAAGAAGCACAUAUUUGCGCAACUAAAAAAACAUGGGUUCCAAAAGAAACCUUUUUAUGCCAUGUGUGCAAAUAGAAGGCUAUAUUUGUGCCAACUAAAACAUGGAUCCAAAACCAACUUUUCCUUCUAUGUGUGCAACCAAACAGCCAAGACUAGAAAAGAGAUGUGCAAACUAACCAUGGAUCCAAAAGCCAGCUUUUGCUGUAAAUGUGUGCAAUCAACACACACAGACAUGGAUGUGUGCAGUCUGUGCAAAAAAAACAUAUUUGUGCAACUAAACAUGAAUCUAAAGCCAACUUUUGUUGUAAAUGUGUGCUACUAAAACAUGAAUCCAGGCCUCCAAACAGCUUGUGGCAGAGGGGGGGACUUUUGUAAUGGGCUCAACUUAUUGUUCAACUUCACCAACCUCCCAGGAGAUGCCCUUAUCCUACCAGCUUGUGACUGUCGUUCUGCAUUAUCUUCUUCAUUACCCUCACCCCCCUGCACAAUAUCAUGAAGGUGAAAAAAGGUGAUUAGUUAACACUGCAUAAUUUUUUUAUUGUUCUUUAGAAAUCUGGAUUAAAAAAGUUGAGGAUGCCAACACAGUAUUUUGUUAACUGUGCAACUAGAAAUGCUAAGGAUGCCAACUAAAUACAUACUCUUGUGCAACUAGAAAAAGUCUUGAGUAUGUCAACUAGUUAGAAAAGUAUUGUGCAACUAGAAUUGUCGAGGAUGCCAAUUAAUUGGAUACUACUGUGCAAGUAUAAAGUCUGAGGGUGCCAAAGAUACUCUUGGGCAACCCUCAAUUUUUUUGGAGAUGAGACUAAAUUAUAUACUGUUGUGCAACUAGAAUGGCUGAGGAUGUCAACAUUAUCUGCUUCAUUUCUCUCAUUCCGUUGAAAAUAUCUUGGGGUUUGCAAAAAAAGGCAGAGGUGAUUAGUUAUCAUUACAUACAAAUAUUUGUUCUCUGGAAAACUAGAUUAAAAAGUUGAGGAUGGCAACUUGAUAUCCUGUUUGUUCUGCAACUAGAAAUGCUGGUGAUGACAACUAAUGAGAUAUUCUUGUGCGACUAGAUAUGCUGAUGAUGCCAACUAAUGAGAUAUUCUUGUGCAACUAGAGAGGCUGAGGAUGUCAACUACUUGGAUAAUGUUGUCCAACUAGAAUUGCAGAGGGUGCCAACUAAAUAGAUACUCUUAUGCAACUAGAAAGCCUGAGGGUGCCAAGUCAUUAGAUACUGUUGGGCAAUCCUCAAUUUUUUUAAGAUGAGACUAAUCUGAGUCUUGUGCAACUAGAGAAGCCAAGGAUGUCAACUAGUUGUAUAAUGUUGUCCAAUUAGAAUUACUGAGGUUGCCAACUAAUUAGAUACUAUUGUGCAACUAGAAAGCCUGAGGAUGCCAAGUCGUUACAUACUCUUGGGACAAUUCUAAAAAACUUGAAGAUGGCAACGUUGAGCAACUGAGAAAGUUGAGCAUGCCAAUGCUUAAUUAGUCCUUCUGCAACUAUGUAUGAAAAUUAAUACACUUGGCUGCCUGUAUGUGGAGUAAAAAAUAUUCCUGAUGGAAUUUUAUGUUACCUCAGCGGCUGCUGCAGAAGAUGUGGCAUCUACCCCUUUGGAUACUGCCUUCAUGCGCACCUUUCUUCUCUGCAGUUUUACUAAGAGGAAUCUUUCGCCACCCUAAAGUUGUGUAAGGAAAAAAUUAACAAGCAUAAGGGGUUGAGAAAAAAUUAAACAUGUAUGUGUGCCAUAUAAAAAACCUAAAGAACAAAAG
rnacentral:lncRNA from 1 species